AUACGGAGGGUGCAAGCGUUACUCGGAAUCACUGGGCGUAAAGCGCGCGCAGGCGGCUAUUUAAGUUGGAUGUGAAAGCCUACGGCUCAACCGUAGAACUGCAUCCAAAACUAUUUAGCUAGAGUGUGGGAGAGGAAGAUGGAAUUAGUUGUGUAGGGGUAAAAUCCGUAGAGAUAACUAGGAAUACCAAAAGCGAAGGCGAUCUUCUGGAACACUACUGACGCUGAGGCGCGAAAGCGUGGGGAGCAAACGGGAUUAGAAACCCUUGUAGUCC
rnacentral:rRNA from 1 species